rnacentral:rRNA from 1 species
GGCUCAGAGUGAACGCUGGCGGCGUGCCUAACACAUGCAAGUCGAACGAUGAUAGAAGAGCUUGCUCUUCUUGAUUAGUGGCGCACGGGUGAGUAUACCAUAGAUAAUGUACCUCUUAGUUCGGGAUAGCCACUGGAAACGGUGAUUAAUACCGGAUACUCCUUCUCAUUAUAAGAUGAGUCGGGAAAGUUUUUUCGCUAAGAGAUCAGUCUAUGUCCUAUCAGCUAGUUGGUGAGGUAAUGGCUCACCAAGGCUAUGACGGGUAUCUGGUUUGAGAGGAUGAUCAGACACACUGGAACUGAGACACGGUCCAGACUCCUACGGGAGGCAGCAGUGAGGAAUAUUGCACAAUGGAGGAAACUCUGAUGCAGCAACGCCGCGUGGAGGAUGACGCAUUUCGGUGUGUAAACUCCUUUUAAGAGGGAAGAUAAUGACGGUACCUCUUGAAUAAGCACCGGCUAACUCCGUG